rnacentral:tRNA from 1 species
AUUUAUAUAGUUUAAAACUAAAACCUUACAUUUUCAAUGUAAAAAUAAAAUCUAUUAAUUUUUAUAAAUA